UACGUAGGGUCCGAGCGUUGUCCGGAAUUAUUGGGCGUAAAGAGCUCGUAGGCGGUCUGUCACGUCGGCUGUGAAAACACGGGGCUCAACUCCGUGCCUGCAGUCGAUACGGGCAGACUAGAGUUCGGUAGGGGAGACUGGAAUCCUGGUGUAGCGGUGAAAUGCGCAGAUAUCAGGAGGAACACCGGUGGCGAAGGCGGGUCUCUGGGCCGAAACUGACGCUGAGGAGCGAAAGCGUGGGGAGCGAACAGG
rnacentral:rRNA from 1 species